GCGGGCCCGGCGCUGGAGCGGGCGGCGUGGUCCGCCCGGGGAAGGGUAUUCUGUGUUCCUGACUUGCAUUUUGGUUUAUUCCGGUGCUCGAGGGCAGCCGUUGAUUGUGAAUGUUUUAGUAAUCCUAAAAUAGAACCGAGUAGUUCUGGGAGAGGGGUAUAAGGAGUUAGUGUUGAAUGGAUGCAGAGUUUCUUUUGGGGAAGAUGAACAAAUUCUGGAGAUGGAUGGUGGACACGGUGCGCAACAAUGUGAACGGGUUAAUGCCUCUGCGCUGCACGCUGAAAAACGGCUAACCUGGAAGAUUAGCCCUGAGCUAACUACUGCCAAUCCUCUUUUUGCUGAGGAAGACUGGCCCUGAGCUAACAUCCGUGCCCAUCUUCCUCUACUUCAUAUGUGGGACGCCUACCACAGCAUGGCUUGACAAGCAGUGCCAUGUCCACACCCGGGAUCCGAACCGGCAAACCCUGGGCUGCUGAGAAGUGCAAUGUGCGAACUUAACUGCUGCGCCACUGGGCCGGCCCUUGCCUUUCUUAUUUGAUGUUAUAUUUCAAGGAGCCUCCGGAGUAUAGCCACACAGCGCCCGUGACAGGCCGCCUCUGUGCAGUGUCUCCAGUGUCCUUCAGCAUCUCC
rnacentral:lncRNA from 1 species